CUCCCCAACUCCUGCUUCAGAGGUCUGAGACCUCUGACUUUGUAUUUUUUUUUACUACAAUUUUUUUUUCCUUUUGUCUUUAAGAGACAUUCAAUCAAUAAAAUUGGAUUUCUCCUUAUGGAGGGCUUCUCCAUUCUUUUUUCUUUUCUUUCUGUAAUGAGAUGCGUCUUGACGCUUUUGUCUCCCGAUGUCAGUAUCCUGCCGAAGCGCUUUCCUUGCCAUAGGGAGUUCCAUUAAAGUCCAC
rnacentral:lncRNA from 1 species